rnacentral:misc_RNA from 1 species
AACGCAAAUUGCACUCCCUGGUAUUCCGGGGAGUAUGCCUGUUUGAGGGUCGGUUUAAGAUCAGAUCGAUGUGUCGCUUUUUUUUUUUUGGUGACAUCUCGGAGUUGGGUCGUCUUGGUCUGCUGGCGUAAGUGACCCGAAAUUGAUGAUGUUCUUGCGCAUCUCAGACGUGUAUGAUUCUCUUAAUCGUCUUUCUGGGUGCCAGGUUAAAUUUUAUUUUACUGGGGUGACCUCGUCUCGUGGUCUCACGCCCAUAACAUUCUCAUGUUCUGACCUCAAAUCAGGUAGGGAUACCCGCUGAACUUAA